rnacentral:misc_RNA from 1 species
ACUUCCAUUCAUACAGCUAAACAUUUUUCAGGAUUUUAGCUUGAAAAAUGGGAAAACAAAUAAACCAGUAUCUUUAGAGGUUGUCAGUAUCCAUAUCUUAAACAAAAGGUUAAAUGCGGUUAUGAGUGUCAUCAAGCACGUUUCCGUAAUGAAUUAAAAUUCAACAAAAUACAGCGUGAUAAAACAACGAUACAAAUCUUGAUUUUACAAGUUAUCGUUUGUUCUUUGUGAUUAUGUUUAUCAUUAUCAUCAUUUACUUUUAUUAAUAUGAUGACUAGCUUUCCUACCCAAAAGCAUGUUAUUGUAUUAGUAAUUUGGUUACCCGAAAAAGUAUAAAAACUUUUUCACUGGCUACCCUCUUUUGGUUACUUCCUAUGGUUGUAAAUAUUUGGAACAUCUUUACUUUCCUUCUUCAUCGUUUUAGGAAAGACGACAUUGUUCUUUAUAUUUCGCAUUACUGCAUGGUCGGUGAAUCAUUUAUUUGACCAAUGAUUCAAGUCUUAUACUCUCCAAUUGAUUUAGAGAAUUAAUACUUGGUAACUCGUCUCCAUUGUAAAUUAGGUCAAAGCAAUGGGAACUAUUCUCCAUAACUACCUAACCCAGUGUUUUGUACUUCUGGAAGCAUUAUAAAUAAUUUCUUUUGAAAAAUAAUUGUUAGAAUUUCAUUUUUAGGGACAUUUAAAAUGAUUAGGAAAUUUACACUGCUAUGUACAUUUAAUUAUGCCCACAUAGAUUGAAACGCACCAAUAAAAUUUGUGAAUUUCCAUAAAAAAUGCAUUUUAGCAGUAGAUUAUUGACGGUUUAUGUAUUCACAAUGUC